rnacentral:rRNA from 1 species
ACGGAAGGCAGCAGUGGGGAAUAUUGCACAAUGGGCGAAAGCCUGAUGCAGCGACGCCGCGUGAGUGAAGAAGUAUUUCGGUAUGUAAAGCUCUAUCAGCAGGGAAGAAAAAUGACGGUACCUGACUAAGAAGCUCCGGCUAAAUACGUGCCAGCAGCCGCGGUAAUACGUAUGGAGCAAGCGUUAUCCGGAUUUACUGGGUGUAAAGGGAGCGUAGACGGAUGUGCAAGUCUGAUGUGAAAGGCUGCGGCUUAACUGCAGGACUGCAUUGGAAACUGUACAUCUGGAGUGCCGGAGAGGUAAGCGGAAUUCCUAGUGUAGCGGUGAAAUGCGUAGAUAUUAGGAGGAACACCAGUGGCGAAGGCGGCUUACUGGACUGUAACUGACGUUGAGGCUCGAAAGCGUGGGGAGCAAACAGGAUUAGAUACCCUGGUA